GUCUAUUUGGAGAUAUAAAAAGUCUAGCCUGCCCACUGAUAAAUUGUUUAAAGGGCCGCGGUAUUCUGACUGUGCAAAGGUAGCAUAAUCGUUAGUUUUUUAAUUGGAAUCUUGUAUGAAUGGUUUGACAAAAAAAAAUCUGUCUUUAUAACUAUUUGUUGAAUUUAACUUUUAAGUGAAAAGGCUUAAAUAAAUUAAAAAGACGAUAAGACCCUAUAAAGCUUUAUAUUAAGUUUUUAUUUAAUUGAAUUUUAAAUAAUAUAAAAAUUUAGUAAUUAAAUUUUAUUUUAUUGGGGUGAUAAUGGUAAAAUGAUUAUUAACUGUUAAUUUUUUUGGACAAUAAUAAGUGAAUGAAAAUUGUUUGUAAAUGAUCCUGUAAUAGAGAUUAAAAGUUUAAGUUACUUUAGGGAUAACAGCGUUAUUUUUUUUGAGAGUUCUUAUCGAAAAAAAAGUUUGCGACCUCGAUGUUGAAUUAAAAUAUCUAUAUAAUUGUAGCAGUUAUAUAAGAAGGUCUGUUCGACCUUUAAAAUUUUACAUGAUUUGAGUUCAGACCGGUGUGAGCCAGGUCGGUUUCUAUCUUUUAAUAAUAAAGAAUUAUUUUAGUACGAAAGGAUUAAAUAAUUAAAAUUGUUUUUAGUUUUGAAUAAA
rnacentral:rRNA from 1 species